UGAGUUUUUCAUCGUUUCGUUGGUAAUCUGAGUUAAAAGGAAAGUAAUUUUGUCAGGUAUUUUGCACAAGAACCGUGUAAGGCAAGAAAGUGGUUGGUUGGACAGUUCGCGAGUGUUUCCUACGGCAAGAGGAUAGAAAAAGGCAGAGAAAAGAACACGUCAUCUGGUAACGUGGCGAAGAGAAAGAGAAGAGAGCUGGCAGAGCGAGUAACCGACUCUUCGACGUUCCUGUUCUUCACAGACACGAUCUCAUUCGCCUCAACCGUUCGACAAAUGGACGAGGAAAACAGAGAGAAAGGGCAAACGUCUGUUGAAAAAUGUGAAACUCGUGUUCACCACGGAAAUCCCUCCGCGCGUCUCAAAUUCGUCGAAUCGCGAAACUUCCUUUUGGCGUGCUUCGCUCAAAAUGCUUCGAU
rnacentral:misc_RNA from 1 species